rnacentral:misc_RNA from 1 species
GAUGAAGAACGCAGCGAAAUGCGAUACUUGGUGUGAAUUGCAGAAUCCCGUGAACCAUCGAGUCUUUGAACGCAAGUUGCGCCCGAAGCCAUUAGGCCGAGGGCACGCCUGCCUGGGCGUCACACGUCGUUGCCCCCCCAUCUACUCCUUCGGGAUUGCGGGGGGCGGAUGAUGGCCUCCCGUGCGCCUCGUCGCGCGGUUGGCAUAAAUGCCAAGUCCUCGGCGACGCACGCCACGACAAUCGGUGGUUGCGAAACCUCGGUUGCCCGUCGUGUGCGGUCGUCGCGCAUCGAGGGCUCGAAAAAAUUGCCGGGCUCCGGCUCGGCUUUCAACGCGACCCCAGGUCAGGCGGGGUUACCCGCUGAAUUUGAGCAUAUCAAUAAGCGGAGGA